CGGCAAUCGUGCCGAAUCCGCACACGUAUCGUCACCGCGUUCGGGGUGCUCCGCAAGGAGUCGCACGCGGCGGGUACGUGGAGGUCCAAC
rnacentral:sRNA from 1 species